AAAUAGUCCCUUCGUACGAAAGGAGUUGGGAAUAUUGACCUAUGGUUUACCUGUUGUUUAAUAUUGUUAAUAAACUAAUUUACUUUCACUAAAGUAAAGAUUAUGAGUAUAUUCUUUAUAUAUAAAGAAUAUAUGAAUGCUUAUUAGGCAUGGCAGGAAAGCUAAGUCAAUUAUAGAUAAGUGCUGAAAGCAUUUAAGCGCGAAGCUUAU
rnacentral:ncRNA from 1 species